rnacentral:rRNA from 1 species
AGCGCAGGCGGGAAGACAAGUUGGAAGUGAAAUCCAUGGGCUCAACCCAUGAACUGCUUUCAAAACUGUUUUUCUUGAGUAGUGCAGAGGUAGGCGGAAUUCCCGGUGUAGCGGUGGAAUGCGUAGAUAUCGGGAGGAACACCAGUGGCGAAGGCGGCCUACUGGGCACCAACUGACGUUGAGGCUCGAAAGUGUGGGUAGCAAACA